UCCAAUAUAUUGUCUAAUAAGUAUUAUUGUCACAUUGUUUUGUUAUUAUAUGUUAUGUCAUUUAUGUAUCUUCUUAAGAUUUAACAAAUUUUUUAAACAAUGUAUAGGUGAACUCUUCUAUUUUACAAAAUAUUGUCCUACUGAUUAUAACUUUACCUGGAAAUAUAUCCAACUAAUCAUAAGGAAUAACUUGAGGAAAAAACUCACUCUGAAAGAGUUUCUAUGCCCACUGCACUGAGAACUUCUUCAGAGGCUGGUCACACCCUAUGCAGGAGAAGGUUCCACUCAAAAAACAGCCUGCACAUGAAGGCCCCUGCUCAGCUGCUGGGGCUCCUGCUGCUCUGGCUCCCAGGUGCCCAUUGUGAUGUCCAGUUGACUCAGUCACCAUCCCUGCCUGCAUCUCUGGGAGAGAGAGUCACCAUCACUUGCAAAGCCAGUCAGAUCAUUAGCAAUUAUUUACAUUAGUAGCAGCAGAGAGCAGGGAAAGCUCCAAAGCUCCUGAUCUAUUUUGCACCUACUUGGCAAUCUGGGGUCCCAUGGAGGUUCAAUGGAAGUGGAUCUGGCACAGAGUUCACUCUCAGCAUCAGCAGCCUGCAGCCUGAAGAUUUUGCCACUUACUAUUGUCAGCAGGGUAAUUAUUUACCUACCCCUGUGACACCAGUCAUAACCAAAACCUCCCAGGAAAGCAGAAGUGAGAGGCUGGGCUGCCCAGAUGCUUACCCUGGUGCUUCGAACUGCUGACAGAACAUCUCAGAUGCAGCCCCCAUUUUUAAGGUCACUGGAAAGGAUUGGGAGAUAGGUUCUGAAGUCAAUUGCAGACCUUAACUGUCUGUCCUCCUGCUCAUCCCAAGCAGCACACACCUGACACUGCCUCUUCUGUGACUUACAAAGAACACUGCUCUGUACUCAUGUAUGGUCUAGUCUGUCCUACAAUUCUGCAGUCAGUCAAUAACGAAGCCAUUCUAGA